AUUGAACGCUGGCGGCAGGCCUAACACAUGCAAGUCGAACGGUAGCACAGAGAGCUUGCUCUCGGGUGACGAGUGGCGGACGGGUGAGUAACGUCUGGGAAACUGCCCGAUGGAGGGGGAUAACUACUGGAAACGGUAGCUAAUACCGCAUAACGUCGCAAGACCAAAGUGGGGGACCUUCGGGCCUCACACCAUCGGAUGUGCCCAGAUGGGAUUAGCUAGUAGGUGGGGUAAUGGCUCACCUAGGCGACGAUCCCUAGCUGGUCUGCGAGGAUGACCGGCCGCACUGGAACUGAGACACGGGCCAGACUCCUACGGGAGGCAGCAGUGGGGAAUAUUGCACAAUGGGCGCAAGCCUGAUGCAGCCAUGCCGCGUGUAUGAAGAAGGCCUUCGGGUUGUAAAGUACUUUCAGCGGGGAGGAAGGCGGUGAAGUUAAUAGCUUCACCGAUUGACGUUACCCGCAGAAGAAGCACCGGCUAACUCCGUGCCAGCCGCCGCCGUAA
rnacentral:rRNA from 1 species